CCUACGGGGGGCAGCAGUGGGGAAUAUUGCACAAUGGGCGCAAGCCUGAUGCAGCCAUGCCGCGUGUGUGAAGAAGGCCUUCGGGUUGUAAAGCACUUUCAGCGGGGAGGAAGGCGGUGAGGUUAAUAACCUCAUCGAUUGACGUUACCCGCAGAAGAAGCACCGGCUAACUCCGUGCCAGCAGCCGCGGUAAUACGGAGGGUGCAAGCGUUAAUCGGAAUUACUAGGCGUAAAGCGCACGCAGGCGGUCUGUCAAGUCGGAUGUGAAAUCCCCGGGCUCAACCUGGGAACUGCAUUCGAAACUGGCAGGCUAGAGUCUUGUAGAGGGGGGUAGAAUUCCAGGUGUAGCGGUGAAAUGCGUAGAGAUCUGGAGGAAUACCGGUGGCGAAGGCGGCCCCCUGGACAAAGACUGACGCUCAGGUGCGAAAGCGUGGGGAGCAAACAGGAUUAGAUACCCUAGUAGUC
rnacentral:rRNA from 1 species